UACGUAGGGUGCGAGCGUUAAUCGGAAUACUGGGCGUAAAGCGUGCGCAGGCGGUCUGUUAAGACCGAUGUGAAAUCCCCGGGCUUAACCUGGGAACUGCAUUGGUGACUGGCAGGCUUUGAGUGUGGCAGAGGGAGGUAGAAUUCCACGUGUAGCAGUGAAAUGCGUAGAGAUGUGGAGGAAUACCGAUGGCGAAGGCAGCCUCCUGGGCCAACACUGACGCUCAUGCACGAAAGCGUGGGGAGCAAACAGG
rnacentral:rRNA from 1 species